UACGUAGGGGGCGAGCGUUGUCCGGAAUCACUGGGCGUAAAGGGCGCGUAGGCGGCCUGAGAAGUCGCAGGUGAAAUCCCACGGCUCAACCGUGGAACUGCCUGCGAAACCAUUGGGCGUGAGGACAGGAGAGGGAAGCGGAAGUACUGGUGGAGCGGUGAAAUGCGGAGAUCGCAGGAGGAAAACCAGUGGCGAAGGCGGCGUUCUGGCAUGGUCCUGACGCUGAGGCGCGAAAGCUAGGGGAGCCAACAGGAUUAGAUACCCCCGUAGUCC
rnacentral:rRNA from 1 species